GCGACGACGGGUAGCCGGCCUGAGAGGGCGACCGGCCACACUGGGACUGAGACACGGCCCAGACUCCUACGGGAGGCAGCAGUGGGGAAUAUUGCACAAUGGGCGAAAGCCUGAUGCAGCGACGCCGCGUGAGGGAUGACGGCCUUCGGGUUGUAAACCUCUUUCAGCAGGGAAGAAGCGAAAGUGACGGUACCUGCAGAAGAAGCGCCGGCUAACUACGUGCCAGCAGCCGCGGUAAUACGUAGGGCGCAAGCGUUGUCCGGAAUUAUUGGGCGUAAAGAGCUCGUAGGCGGCUUGUCACGUCGGUUGUGAAAGCCCGGGGCUUAACCCCGGGUCUGCAGUCGAUACGGGCAGGCUAGAGUUCGGUAGGGGAGAUCGGAAUUCCUGGUGUAGCGGUGAAAUGCGCAGAUAUCAGGAGGAACACCGGUGGCGAAGGCGGAUCUCUGGGCCGAUACUGACGCUGAGGAGCGAAAGCGUGGGGAGCGAACAGGAUUAGAUACCCUGGUAGUCCACGCCGUAAACGGUGGGCACUAGGUGUGGGCAACAUUCCACGUUGUCCGUGCCGCAGCUAACGCAUUAAGUGCCCCGCCUG
rnacentral:rRNA from 1 species